UACGGGGGGGGGCAAGCGUUGUUCGGAAUUACUGGGCGUAAAGGGCUCGUAGGCGGCCAACUAAGUCGGAUGUGAAAUCCCCAAGCUUAACUUGGGAACUGCAUCCGAUACUGGAUGGCUUGAAUCCGGGAGAGGGAUGCAGAAUUCCAGGUGUAGCGGUGAAAUGCGUAGAUAUCUGGAGGAAUACCGGUGGCGAAGGCGGCAUCCUGGACCGGCAUUGACGCUGAGGAGCGAAAGCUAGGGGAGCGAACAGG
rnacentral:rRNA from 1 species